AGAGGCUCUUAUCAUGACCAGCCUGAUUCAUUUCAGGUGUAUACGGUCCCUCCCUUUCCUCUCUCUCUCUCUCUCUCUCUCACUCCGCCAUCUUCCCACUGGUAAUUUCUUGGGCAAAGCUGAGCAGCUUUUUCGGAAAGAUAAUCUGCCUGAGCGGAAGCUGGCAUCAUUUGAAACAAAUCCCUGAUGUCACAGACUGUGAGUUACUGAAGAAAUCAGACGUGCUGACAGUGACCCAGAGAGAAGACAUGCCUCUUUCCUGAUGCUCCAGGGAAGGUGCUGAUGUCCAAGUUCAGAGCCCAUGAACAUCCCUGACCUAGCCACGGUGGGCAGCCAUUGACCAGCAUCCUCUGGCUGGUCCUAGUCACGUGCCUUCCUCUGCUCGGGGAAAGGAAGGUCAAGAGCCUCAAACUCACAGAAAGGAUGCCUAUGAGAGGAGGGGCUGUGCUCCACAAUAGAGCGGAGAAGAGGUCUGAUCCUGGUGAGAGAGCAGGAGCUGCUUGAGUUACCUGCAGAAGAAGAGAGUAUUUAUCAUACCCCACUCAGAGAUAAUGACCAAUAACAUUUUUUGGUAUAUCCUUCCAGUUUUAAAAUCUAUAUGUUUAAAACGGAGUUCUCCAA